AGGCUGUCUCAUCAAGAAAUUGGGCGCAAAAAUCUGUUCAGCCAUUUCAAGAAUAAAGCUGAUCAGGCUAAGGCCAAUUUUAUUUUAACCAAGAAGGAAAAGCAGACGGUAAUGGCUAAUUAUAAAAAAAGGCUUGGCAAAAUUAAGCGUACAUGUGAGGAAAUAAGACACAGUAGCUUGUCUUCAGAAGACCAAAUCCAGAUACUGAAUAUCUUUAGAGGGCUGGGGUUCUGAGGUGAGCGAGCAAAGUGCGGAUUAACCCUCUCACGGGUAAGACCGCCUCCAGGCGGUCUUCACAAAAACAAACGACAUGGAUUAAACGAACUGCAUGGAUUAAAAAAAAAAACAAAAAAAAAACUUUGUAUUACCAAAAAAUUUGAAUUUAAAAUGAAAAUAAAAUAAAGUUGAAUUUAAAUGAAAAUGGAAUUCGAAAUGUUGGACUUUUAUUACCCAAAAAUAUAUAGUUAUUUAAAAAAUUAAAAAUGAUCCGU